UGCUCCGGUGCCGGGGGCGACCUCCCCCAAGGACCGCGAGAGGGAAAGGACCCCACCAAACCCCACCCCUCCCUCCCGCCCGCCCGCCCGCCCGCAGCGCAAACUCACCCUCGCGAGUGAACAUCACCAACUCAGCUGGAUUUCGGCCUGGUUGCCUGUCCUACGCUCAGCGCAACACAACCGCAGACAUGCAACGGCCCUCGCCGGGACUGCAAUCCCAGUGCGAGGGCCUGACCACCAAGGAAGACGGAACCUUCCCG
rnacentral:ncRNA from 1 species